rnacentral:tRNA from 1 species
GAGGGUAUAGCACAGUGGUAGAGUGCGUGCUUAGCAUGCAUGAGGUCCUGGGUUCAACUCCCCAGGGCCUCCA